GGUAAUACGGAGGGUGCAAGCGUUAAUCGGAAUUACUGGGCGUAAAGCGCACGCAGGCGGUCUGUCAAGUCGGAUGUGAAAUCCCCGGGCUCAACCUGGGAACUGCAUUCGAAACUGGCAGGCUAGAGUCUUGUAGAGGGGGGUAGAAUUCCAGGUGUAGCGGUGAAAUGCGUAGAGAUCUGGAGGAAUACCGGUGGCGAAGGCGGCCCCCUGGACAAAGACUGACGCUCAGGUGCGAAAGCGUGGGGAGCAAACAGGAUUA
rnacentral:rRNA from 1 species